rnacentral:rRNA from 1 species
GUCGUGCGAGAAGUAUCUUCGGAUAUGAGUAGAGCGGCGGACGGGUGAGUAACGCGUAGGAAUCUACCUAGUAGAAGGGGAUAGCCCGGGGAAACUCGGAUUAAUACCGUAUACCUCCUUCGGGAGAAAGAAGGCCUCUCAUUGAAGCUUUCGCUGCUAGAUGAGCCUGCGUAAGAUUAGCUUGUUGGUGAGGUAAAGGCUCACCAAGGCGACGAUCUUUAGCGGGUCUGAGAGGACGAUCCGCCACAUUGGGACUGAGACACGGCCCAGACUCCUACGGGAGGCAGCAGUGGGGAAUAUUGGACAAUGGGCGCAAGCCUGAUCCAGCCAUACCGCGUGUGUGAAGAAGGCCCUAGGGUUGUAAAGCACUUUAAGUUGGGAAGAAAAGUUAUUGGUUAAUACCCAAUAGCCGUGACAUUACCAUCAGAAUAAGGACCGGCUAAUUCCGUGCCAGCAGCCGCGGUAAUACGGAAGGUCCAAGCGUUAAUCGGAAUUACUGGGCGUAAAGCGCGCGUAGGUGGUUUAUUAAGUUGGAUGUGAAAUCCCCGGGCUCAACCUGGGAACUGCAUCCAAAACUGAUUCACUAGAGUACGAUAGAGGGAGGUAGAAUUCACAGUGUAGCGGUGGAAUGCGUAGAUAUUGU